rnacentral:lncRNA from 1 species
UUCUAAAUAAACAACGUUAACUGCAAUACAACAUGAAAGGAGUACAGGAAAAGCAGAAAUGCUGCACAGGAACGCAGCAGCUGAUACAGGGAAACUAAUCAAAGCAAUAUUUACAUAAGAUGGGUGUUUAAUUCUGAAGGUUAUCAAAGGAUUAAACCAAUCAUAAUCAUCCGAUUUUGAUAAUGAUCGUAAUUACCACUCCAUUACGGAUGGAACCUCAAAUUUCAAUACCAACAACCAGUACAUCAACAUUAGUGUCUGGUUAUUGUAACAUACUUGAGACUCCAGAAGCCAUGUCGCAGCAGAUCCUGUAUAACGCCAUUUCCAGAAUAAACGACUGUGGAAGGAAAGCCCGAGUACGAGGCUAGAACUAGAGCUUGGUGCGAAGUAUUAUACCAUUCCCUGUCGGGGGACUUGAUAAGUGGUGUUGAGGAGAUGCUUCAAUGAAAGAAACCUACAGUUGCCUGCUUCAAAGACUCGGUUUUUGCUUUCUUCUGGGGCAGAUGAAGAGCAAUGCGCUAGUAGAAUUGACAGAAAUCGAACUGAGUUGAGUGAAACCAGAUAAUAGCCUUCCCAAAGCAUCAAUACAAGAACUUUUAUUAACUAUUUCAGCUUUGAUUGCUCACCUUGUCUUGUGAUGCAGCUUUGCAGUCGGAUUCUUCUCGAAGCAACUCCAAGUGGAUAGACGCGAAUGGACGAUGGUUGAAGACAGUCUUGCUGAGGUACGUAUGGCUUUUGAUGAAGAGUACAGAUAAUUUGAAAACAAUUUUGCUGAGGUUCGUCUGACUUUUGAUGAAGAGAGUACACUAUUGAAAGACAAUUUUGCUGAGGAAUAUUUGUAGUUUGGUUGACAGGUGACACGCGGUCUACAAACAACCGCUGCUUCUGAGAAAAGACAUCUUUGCUUAAUCUGGACUUGUUGAAGGAGAGUAGACUUCCUGAUGACAUCUCAAACACUGGCUUCUACGGCUGUUCUUUGAACUAACAUGUUCACCUAACAAGCUUUGAAGUUUCUAAAACUAAGGAAUGCUUAAAAACGGCCAAAGAGAAGAGGAACAGGCUUAGCGAACCUACGUCGGUUGUCACGGACAUGAUCGUCCAAAACUGGCAGAUGAAGUUUCUACUGCCUACAGUUCCUGAAAGGUAGACUAGGGUGAUGCUUUACUCUUGCUAGAGCUCUUGGGGUUUACAAGUCCCCUAUUUCUGUUUUCCAAUAACUAAGAUCUUGCUGUUCUUCGAUAAUUAAAUCUUCUUGUUCACUGGCUAUUCUUGAGUAACUAAGACCGACUAAACCUAUGUUGCUGUUGAUAUCUUAAGACUCGUGCUUGUGACUCUGGUAGAUUAGAGUCACUAAAAGUAGGGUACGUUGUUUCUUCCCAGGAUACUAAAUUACUAAUCCUGGUCAACAAUGAUAAAUCAAGAACUUUAUGGGAAAAGAGUUUAAAUCUCCAUAUCAUCUGGAGAUCGCAACUCAUCAUUGCAUCCAAUAUAGUUAUUGGGAUGCACACCAUCUCCCAGUUCCGUGUUCAUUGGUGACAGCAGCAAGUAAUCUUGUAACGGAUCAAACGGUGGACCCAUACAUUCAUUGGGAUCACAGGUUGAAAUAUUAUUCUUAAAUUCAAGAUAAGAAAUAUUAUCUGGAAUUAAAGAUUGCCGCCUUGUGCAAUCACCAUGGACAUGGGAAACACUUCCCGGCAAAGUGUGUAAUGGUGACUGCAGUGUGGGUGGGCAGUAAUCCUGUGGUUGAUGUGGCUGUGAAGGCUGAUGUGGAUGCGGUGGCUGAUGUGGCUGUGGUGUCUGCUGCAGCGGUUGAGAGGGUGAAUUCAGAAUUUCUCCCAUCUCAGCACACAACUGGUGGAUUACGAAUCACAAACAAGCAGGUGUUAAAUUUUGGCAGGUUUUGCAAGUUCAAAGAAAAGAACGCAGAAAAAGCAUAUGCUUAUCUCACCUCUAGAAAUAUAGCUGGAUCAUCGAAAUCCGAGAAUUUCCAGAAACCAGUGUCAUCAUCACCAUCAUCAAGGCUCAAGCUAACUUGGCUAAUCCCUAGCUCUUUUUCUCCCAGAUGUUCCACUGGCUCUGCUAUCACAUCACUUACAACAGCUUGAUCGUCUUCAGAAUUCGCUCCCGAAUCAGCUAAUUCGCCCCGGAUUGGAUCACCCUUCGGCUUCUUAUAACUAGCUGAAUUGUUCUUCAGGCGGCAGAGGACAAAGUCCAUCUGCUUGGUGGGUUUAGAACCCACCUGGGUUUCUGUGAGAUAAUACUCAUGGACUAUCCAAUCGGUCUUCUUUGCUUUCGGCGCACGACCUUCGUAAAAGGUCAGAAUCCUCUUCUUCCCAAUCACAGCUUUGGAUUCUUCAGCCCUGAUCUCACGCUCCUUCCCUGUGAUCUUGUAAAAGCCUUGCUCCGUGGCCCGGUUGCAGCGAGUGCUGUUGAUGUACUUGUAGUCGGGCCGGCUGAAGAAGUACCACUCCUUCUCUUGAUCUUCUGGGAAGAAUGCUGAAAUCCAACAACAAAACAAAAUGUUCAAAAUUUGAUACCAGUCCACUCCAAUUCUUGAGCGACGAGCGAUAUUACUACUCUUAAGUUCUACUAAGGGGAGGGGGGAGGGUUUGCCCGGGGCGCAAUGGUUGGAACCCGGGCAAUCCACCCUUGCACUCCAAUUCUUAAGGUACAAAAACACAAAAACUGAAAAGAUCAUAAAUAUAUGCAUACAACAGCUUCAUACAAAAGAAAUAGAGCACUGGAAUCACAACACAAAACAAAAAAUGGAAACCCAAUUCAAUUCCGGAUGAAAAAAAAAACAAAAAAAAUCGAACAAGAUAGUAAAUUUACAUAAACAACAUCCGAAUCCAUCAGAAAUAAUAAAAGGGUAGUGAAUAAAAAGUGAGACAGAUUAGUGGGGUUACCAGGAAGAUCGCAGGGCUCGUACUUGCAGACAUCGAUUUCAGGGAUGAGGUGACGGAAAUGGGAGUCUGUGCCCUGUACCUUGUUCUUCAAGUAGUAGCUGACCAGCAGCUCAUCAGUUGGGUAGAAUCUGAACCCAGGUAGUAGGAUCAGAUUCACAUGCACUGCAUCUCCUUCUUCAGUUGUCAUGCUGCUGCUGAUGCUGCUACUGCUCAUCUCUCUCUCUCUUCCUCUCUCUCUCUCUCAACUUUGAACUGUGAUUAUUAAUCGGUGUUUUUGGUUCUGUGAGGAAGCAGCAUUUGAGCGGAGUCGUAUUUAUAUACGCUCAUCAAAGACCCCACUUAUCCCUCAAGCACUGGACUUUUGAAAGUUGACUAGUAUUUUUUCCGAGUCUUUGAGCUUAUGGUGUAAGUUCAUCUUUUGCUCCCUAUACGUUUGGGGUUUCUUUCAUUUUGGUCUUCCGAUUAUUUCUUAUCACAAUUUCUUUAAUUCCAGUAAUAUUGUAAUCUAAAUUAAAUUAUGUUGUCAUAAAUUUUAACUUAGGUGAGAAGAGGUGAGCGAAUUCCUUUCGCUAACUUGGCUAAUCCCAAAUUUAUACAAUUAUGAUCAUAAACGAUAUUACUAUCUUAACUCUAACUAAACUUACAAAUGAUAGUGCUAAUCCAAAUUCUGGCUAAACUAAACAACAUGAUUUUACAAUAGAAGUGGUCGUUUUGUUAAUUAGUUUGUGUUGUGGUUGUCUGAAAAGUUUUCUCGUUGGCAUAAGCAACUCUAGAUUUGUUACAACAAAAAACUAUUUGAAUCCUAUCAAAUUUUGUAAGAGUUGAAGUGUUGUCCUUAUCUUACCAUACAAUAUUAGAAGUUUAGGGGGGCAAUUUGAAACAAAAAACGUUUAAAGAUCCAAAUAGAACAACUACCAAAAUUGAAGGUGCAAAUAUAUAAUCAAGUCUUGAGCUUCCAAUGCAAGUUUGAACUUAGUGUUGGACAUGGCUGCGUCAUAUCAACGUACUCUAGAAUUUACGAACUUUCUAGAAUCUCAUACGUGGAAAAUAAUUGUUUUUUGAAGGCAAAGCAUUACGUCAGUACGUCUACUGUGCAUGUCCAUGUGGAGUGACAACAAUGUUGCUACAGAUUUCGAGUUUACAUUCAGCUUAGCUGUAAUAAUACUACACAAUGUUGUUGAAAAAAAAGAAAGAGUUUUGCAUGUUUUUAUAAGGAGCUGCAACAAGAUCGGUCUUGAGAUUUUGAGGGUCCUCGAUUAGGGAUGUCAAUGGAUUGGUCUGGGGAUGGAACUGCUAUAUCCAUCUUUAUAAUCACGAAAAUUAAUCAUAUCCAUAACUGCAAAUUAACCAUCGGGUAUUAUCCAUAACCAUACCCACCGGAUAACGGAUUCCCUUAACGGUUAUAUCUAUCUUCGUCAAUACGAAAAAUAUAUUUGCCCAAUUGACACAUGAUAAUUUAGUAAAUAUUAAUUUCGUCAUUAAAUAUUGGAUCUAUAAAAUGAUUUAAUUAAUGGAUCUUGUGGAGCAUAAAAAUUAAAGUUAAACAUUGAUAAUGUUGGUUGAUCUUUGAUAUCUCCCAUAAGUACCAUUGAAUUCUCAUAGAUUUUGAUUCAUAUCAAAACUUUUGAACUUUGCCACAAAAUGCAACUCAGACAAUGCAAUUUUUGUAUUCUCAAGGUACGAUUCGGUGAAUAAUGAAUAUACAUACAUACAUAUAUAUAUACACACACACACACAUAUAUUAUAUAAUACUUUAAUAUUAUAUAUAAUUAUAUUACAUAUUAUUGGUUCGGAUUCGGGUACGGAUAUGGAUUGGGGACCCUUAUAACCAUAUCCAAAACCAUAACCGAAUAAUAUUUACGGGUUUCCCCCAUACCCAAAAUAUACCCAAAUUUUCAUAUUCAAACCCAAUCAAAUCGGACGGUUAUCCAUGGUUAUCGGGUUUAACGAUUAGAAUUGUCAUCCCUACCCUAGGGUAGCCUUCAAAGUGAGGCUCUAGAGUUUUUUAACUUCUCACACAUUGUACAUGAUAUGUAUAAAAAAGAAUUCGUUAAAUACAUAAAAUUGAUCAAAUUUGCAAAAUUCGGGAGAGAUUUUGGUACGAAACGGUAGUACGAGCAGCCGGAUCCACGUAUUCGUGCAUGGAGUCGUCGGUGCGGGUCAAAUGGUGAGGUUCUGCAGCAUAACCAAAUGCCCUAAACCGGUACUCGGAAUUUUCCUCCUGUUGCACCCUAACUAAAGGAAAGAGAGAAACAUUUUUCUUAUUUAUGGAUUCAAAUACUAGUUCGACCAAUUUAUUCCUUAUUUCCCUCGUAUAAAAAUAUAAGGACGUAUAAAAAACCACCAGGAGAAUAUAAUACACGAAAUUCCAAGAAAAUGAAAGGUUCUAGAUAAACAGUAUUAACAACAAUACAACAUGAAAGGAGUACAGGAAAGGCAGAAAUGCUGCACAGAAACGCAGCAGCUGAUACAACAAUAACAACAACAACAAAGUCUUUUCCCACUAAGUGGGGUCGGCUAAAACGCAGCAGCUGAUACAGAGAAAUUAAUUAAAGCACUAUUUACAUAAGAAAGGGUGUUUAAUUCUGAAGGUUAUCAAAGGAUUAAACCAAUCAUAAUCAUCCGAUUUUGAUAAUGAUUGUAAUUGCUACUCCAUUAGGGACGGAACCUCAAAUUUCAAUACCAACAACCGGUACAUCACCAUUGGUGUCUGGUUAUUGUAAUAUAUUUGAGACUCCAGC